AUGAUGAGCAUCCCCGAACAAAUGCAAAUACAGGGGAGAUGAUUGUCAAGGGUUGUAAGGAAAUAAAUCUAUUAGCAUGGUUCCAGAGAUAAGCGCGUCCUUAAAAUGACCAUAUGCAAAGGUAGUGAUAAUGAGGAUGUCCAGCGGAUUUUCACAUUUGCAUAUCUUCUAAUCAAUCCACUUCCCAUCUGCUGCUUCGUGUAAAGGCCAAGAUCACUGUGUCAAGAUUUUUGAUUCAAUCUUUUGUUUACUCGAUUUCUGUUUUUUAAGUAAGUCAGGCAGCUAACUUAGUGCGCCUGCACCUUUCUUUGUCCUUAACGUACUUGUGGUUUUUUCUGAUAUGCUUCUCCAUGACAGUUUCCCAAUGUCAUUAGUGUCAGUAAAUAGAGGAAAAGCUGAGAACAAUCUGGAGCUGGUCUAGCCCGUCUUUGGCAGCUGGUGACCUUCCUGGUCUGUAUGCUCCAUGACUCUCCAGCCUCGUUUUUUUUUUUUUUUUUCAGUUUGCAGACAGCCCGACUCUCUUUAUCACUUUCCAGGAUCAGCAAUUGCUCACCGACAGUCUCUCAGUAAUGCAUCCAUGCUGGGUAUCUCUUCAGAGCACAGCUAUGUGCUUUGCAAAUGCAACAUACAAGGAGUGAAUACAAGUGAGAGAAAGCUGGGGGAGGGGUGGGGCAGAGAUGGUUGGAGGGAGUUCGUAGCAUUUCAAGUACCAGCCUGAAGAGGAGUAUUUUAAGCUUUACAGGAAGGCAAGAUUUUAAAAAAUUGCCUUCUUUUAAUUGUUAUCAGAGAAGCAUAUCAGCAUAUUUCCCUGAUAUGCUGUUUCCUGUGGACUGUACAGUAUUAGGUUUGCAGGCAUCCUAGAUUGCUGCACCACCAUGAUGCUAGCAUUUUAGUAACAAUGAUAGAUGAUCAAAAAAAUUCAGGUCCUUUCACUAAAAUUAAAAGCUCAGAAGCAAAGAAGAAUUAAAGAUAAUCUCCUAGACAGUUGUGCAUAAGCUCUUAUACUGGACAUGAUAAUACAAACUACGGUAUAACCUCGAGAAACAAGAUCUAUAUUUUCAUAUAACAACACAACAGGAUGUGUUGAAUUUCACUAUUUUUCAUUGACUCGAAUAAGGCUUACCAAUUAUGCAGAGUGAAAUACUGAAAACGUUUAGAGCCCUUCCUGUGAUGCAUGGUUCAUAAGCAUAGUACCACAGGCUUAAUUGGUUGAAUUCCUCUCUUGGCAGACAAGGAACUGUACCCC
ensembl:lncRNA